rnacentral:lncRNA from 1 species
CGCUCGCCCAGCUACAGCCGCCACAGCUCCUACGAGCGGGGCGGCGACGUAUCCCCCAGCCCGUACAGCAGCAGCAGCUGGCGGCGCUCGCGCAGUCCCUACAGUCCAGUACUCAGACGAUCUGCCAAAUCCCGAAGCAGAAGCCCCUAUUCAUCUAGGCACUCAAGAUCUCGUAGCAGGCACAGAUUGUCUAGAUCCCGAAGUCGUCAUUCAAGCAUUUCUCCUAGCACACUAACUCUGAAGAGUAGCCUGGCAGCUGAAUUAAACAAGAAUAAAAAGGCACGAGCUGCAGAGGCAGCAAGAGCUGCAGAGGCAGCCAAAGCUGCAGAAGCUGCUAAGGCUGCUGAGGCAGCUGCCAAAGCUGCAAAAGCCUCUAGUGUUUCUACACCUACCAAGGGGAACACAGAAACUGGUGCCAGUGUCUCACAGACAAACCAUGUGAAGGAAGUCAAAAAACUUAAAACUGAGCAUGCACCUUCUCCUUCAAGUGGUGGGACUGUCAAAAGUGACAAGACAAAAACAAAGCCACCGCUUCAAGUAACAAAAGUAGACAAUAAUUUGAUUGUAGAGAAAGCUACCAAGAAAACAGUUGUUGGGAAAGAGAGUAAACCUGCUGCUACAAAGGAAGAACCAGUGUCUACUAAAGAGAAAACCAAGCCACUCACACCAAGUGUAGGAGCCAAGGAGAAGGAGCAACAUGUGGCUUUAGUGACCUCUACAUUACCACCAUUACCUUUGCCUCCCAUGUUGCCUGAAGAUAAAGAUGCUGAUAG